GCUAAUAGAACAUUUGCGGGCGAUGGGUGAAUCUAAUGCGCUUGUAAAUAGAAUCAAAUUCUUAAAAAGGGACACCGCUCUAGCGACAGCUGCUGUUUAUGAGUCCAUGUUUGCAGCAGAAGAUGGCUCCAUCCCUACGACUUUCCAGGUGAUAUAUAUGACUGGGU